ensembl:lncRNA RASSF8-AS1 RASSF8 antisense RNA 1
GAGCUUUUAAAGCGGCGGGGAGCUCGGCGCGACCCUCGGGCCCACCGGGCCACGCUCGCCCGGCCCGCGACGCCCCCCCGCUGUCGCCUGGCCCGCGACGCACCGAGGCCUGAGGACCCGAAAGCCGGGCGCGGGGAGAUGACCGGUGGCUCGUGACGGUCCCACGGGCAAAAUCUUCCAUCGCCCGGGGCUGAGACUUGUCAAACUGCCCUCUACGGUCACCCGGAAAGUAGGAGGCUUUUUCUGCAGAGGGGAAAAAAAUCAAAAAGAGCCGUUCCAUCCCCCCUCCAAGGACUGGGUUUGAAUUGCUUUUCAUCUGCAGUGGCUGUGAUUCAGCGUCCCUCUUAGCAGCAGGCAAUGACAGAGGCAGGAGAGGGGAAAAAAAAAAAGAAAGAAAGAAAAAACACAGCAAAUGAAUCAAACGGACGUAGCAGGCAAGAGUGUGGUUAUCGUUGGACCAGGAUUCAGGAUCUGACUGAGUAGCUGACUCUUAAUCCAGUUUGUGUUGAUCACCAGGAGGAUCUGGACCUCAGUAUUACCACAUCUAGAGCUAUAAUCACAUCCCUGUUAAGCCUUCCUGAGAUCACACCAAAUGUCCUUGAUGGGAAUUGUAAACAACCCUUACUUCUGGUUUCUAAUGAUAUUCCAGGAAAGGAGCCUAACUAGAGUCAGUGAUAUGCCAACUCCACCUUUGCCUUCCACCAUGUUUGGAAGCUCCCUGAGGCCUCACCAGGAGCAGAUGCUCGUCCCAUGCUUCCUAUAAGCCUGCAGAACUGGAAAAGAAAGCUGGAUAAAGUAUUUAUAGAAGAUAGAGGACCUGUGGUGGCUCAUGCCUGUAAUCCAAGGUGGAAGGAUUGCUUGAGGCCAGAAGUUCAAGACCAGUCCAAGCAACAUAGCAAGGCCCCAUCUCUACAAAAAAUGAAAAUAAAAUUAGCCGAGCGUGAUGGCUCAUGCCUGUAGUUCUAGCUUCUAGAGAGGCUGAGGCAGGAGGAUUGCUUGAGUCCAGGAGUUCAAGAUUACAGUGAGCUAUGGUCACACCACUGCACUCCAGCCUGGGUGAUGGAGUGAGACUGUCUCAAUAAAAAGACAAAAAGGCUGGCCAGGGGCAGUGGUUCAUGCCUGUAAACCCAGCACUUUGGGAGGCAAAGGCAGGAGGAUUGCUUAAGCCCAGGAAUUUGAGAUCAGCCUGGACAACAUGGUGAGACCCCCAUCUCUACAAAAAUUUUUUUUAAAAGUUACCCAGGCAUGGUGUUGCACAUCUGUGUUCCCAGCUACUGGGGAGGCUGAGACGGGAGGAUCACUUGAGUCCAGGAAGUUGAGAGGUUGAGGCUGCUGUGAGCUGUGAUUGUGCCACUGCACUUUAGCCUGGACAACAGAGGGAGACCCUGUCAACAACAACAACAACAACAAAAAAGCAAAACAUCAUAGGCUGCAGAAAUAAACUUUCUUGUCAAUUGUGUCUUUAACCAUGACCAUUUUGAGUCAUUUCCACAGUGAGUUGCCUAAUUUUGAUGCAUUUCUGAAAACUCUUUAUAAGCAAGUAAAAUCCUAGAGAAUUGUGCCUUCAAGGAGACUCAUGGAAAGGAUGGAAAGAACUCUUGAAUACAUGUUUCUGAUAGCUUUAUGAUCAUAUCAUUUGGACUGGGUAAGAAUUCCCAGAACUCAUGAAGAGACUGACUAUUUAUUAAUCCAAGCAGGAAAAGAAUUAAUUGAAUACCAAGGAAAUACUGUGCCAGAGAUUUUCAUGCUAAAUCAGUCAGCACCGAAAUCGUUAAGAUGUGUAGUUUGAAUGAACUCCAUGAUCCUAGUCAAAUUUCCUAUGAUGACCCAUUUAAUAAACAGUGCUAUGCACCUGAAUUGGAGAAACAGAAUUGAUACUUAAAUCCAAUGUUAAUCAUAGAUUCAUGGAAAGCCUAAAUGGCUGCUUGGGUCUUCCUGAGCCCUUAAAGCUUCCAUUAUUAAA